rnacentral:misc_RNA from 1 species
GGAGGGAUCAUUAACACUAAUCCACGGGACACCUUUUCUGAAAAAAAAGGGGAUUAGUAAAACGGGGGGUCUCUUGAUGUUCGAAGGAUUCUGCAAGUGCCAAGUUGUGGAUCCGAAGAAUAUUGGGGGGUUCUCUGAGUGUAUUGAGCUGAGGAAGUAUAGUUGCUGGCACCAACUAUGCCUUCCUUGCUUGGUGCGACCCAUGUUGAUGUCAAGCCUCCUGCAUGGCCCAUAUUGGGGUGGCUUGGUGUCUGCAAGGUUGGGGGAUAAAGGAACUUUGGUGAGGAGUAGCUCCCUUGCCAGCUUUCUGGAGUCCAUUUCUUCUUUAAACUCUCUACUUCGGUGGAGGGGAUGGGAGGAAAACCUGACUUAGUGGGGCAAGUGGUGUCUUUCGGGACACCACAAGGGGGGUCUUGGUUGUUUGGAGGACUUCUACACUGCCAGUUGUAGAAGACCAAAAAAUGGCCUGUGAUCUCUGAGUGUGCCAUGUGGGGAGACCAAUGACGCUGGCACGUUAGCGGACUCUUUGUGUGGUGCGACCCAUGUUGAUGUCAAGCCUCCUGCAUGGCCCAUAUUGGGGUGGCUUGGUGUCUGCAAGGUUGGGGGAUAAAGGAACUUUGGUGAGGAGUAGCUCCCUUGCCAGCUUUCUGGAGUCCAUUUCUUCUUUGAACUCUCUACUUCGGUGGAGGGGAAUGGGAAGAAAACCUGACUUAGUGGGGAGUGGUGUCUUUCGGGAUACCACAAACGGGGGGUCUUGGUUGUUUGGAGGACUUCUACACUGCCAGUUGUAGAAGACCAAAAAAUGGCCUGUGAUCUCUGAGUGUGCUAUGUGGGGAGACCAAUGACGCUGGCACGUUAGCGGACUCCUUGUGUGGUGCGAUCCAUGUUGAGGCCUGACUUAGGUUUUCCUUUCCUUGAGUCUUGCAAACUCUUGGAUUGGAGACUAUUUGGUCUUGGCUUCUGGAGGGGUUAGGAGGGAUGAAGGGGAACUUUUGGUUUAUGGUCUGCCCAAAGCCAAUUUUUUUCUUGACUUCCUCGCUCUUUCUUGGCUUAGUAAAGUGGCAAUUUACUUUGCUGGGGGGGAGAACUGACCUUAGUGGAGCAAAUGGUGUCGAGUGCGCCCGAAAAAAGACAUCAUGGUGGGCCGGUGGGAGGGGUUAUCAAAACUUGUUCAAAAAAAAACAUAAUCCAUUGGUGGUGGAUGACUCGGCUCCAGUGUCGAUGAAGAACGCAGCGAACUGCGAUACGUAACAUGAAUUGCAGGAAACUGUGAAUCGUCGAAAUUUUGAACGUACUAUACCUGGGGCUAAUCAGCCCUAGGUACAUCCAGUUGAGUGACGCGUCUAUCUACCUCUGUAGUUUAAAAUGAGGUGAAGUUGUGAGUGUAGCAUUUCGGUGCUAGUCUCAUUAAAUAAAAAAUCCCACCGUGGCUCAGUCCUGAGAGUUUUACUUAACUGUUCAACUUCUCAUGGUGCUGAAAUUGAUGGAGUAUCCAGCCACUUAUUUUUUUCUCUUUUGAAAGAAAAAAAGGGCUGUGGCAAAAGGAACGUGUCCAAUAGGAACCCCAGAUCUUCGGGCAUUAGUACUUAGACGUCCAAGGUUCUCUUGGAGAAAAACAUCAAGAGGUAGCUCCGCCCCUUCUCCCUCGUGGAGGAGGUGUCGUCUAACCUUCCAGGGCUCUAACCUCACGGAUUAGGGGGGGAUAAAAGGCAGGUAUAAAAUCCAAUAUCGCAAAUACGGGGAUAGAGACCUAGCGAUCGUCUGGGCGGGUCGUCCCUCAAUCGUCCUCAACUUGGGUGGGAUAACCCGCUAAACUUAAGCAUAUCAGUCAGCGGAGGAAAAGAAAGCAACUGCGAUUCCCUUAGUAACUGCGAGUGAAGCGGGAGCAGCUCAACACUGAAUCGGGUGGCCUCGCUGCCAUUCCGAGGUGUAGUGUUUCGAAGCGACUCGGGUGAUAAGUCUUGUUAAGUUGUUGGAAAACAACGCCAUAGAGGGUGAUAGCCCCGUUGCAGGACGAUGCAUCCAUAGUAGUCGACUUCGCCGAGUCGUACUGUUUGAGAGUACAGUGCAAAAUGGGAGAUGAAUUUCUCCUAAAGCUAAAUACACACUGGAGACCGAUAGCAAACAAGUACUGUGAAGGAAAGUUGCAAAGAACUCUGGAGAGAGAGUUAGAGGAACCUGAAACCACCAAUGGGAAGGGUUCGGGAACGCCAUUCUGUACUUGCUCAGGAGAAUCCGGGUAGGCAAUUGGGGGAGUGUCUGAGGGGGAUUUUCUCUCCAGCCUUUUUCAUUUGUUUAUCUUAUCCUCUGCAUUCAUGUACACAGAUUACCAUUGAGGUAGGGGAAACCAAACGACGGGUGCUGUGGUGUUGAGUAUGUCUUUCGGGUCAUUUCUCAUCCAAAUGGUACUCUGAUCUGGGGACUUUUACUUCACGCUCUCUUAUGGGAGUGAGUCUGUGGCCUCGCCAGCACGUGGGUGGCGCCAGGCUUGGUUUGGGGGAGCCACAACAUGUUGUAGCUUUUCUGGGCUGGGUCUGCACGUGUCCAUUCGCACACAGACGUAAAAAUGGCUUCUGACUUCAUGGAAGACCUGAACCUCCCGUCUUGAAACACGGACCAAGGAGUCUAACUAAUACGCGAGUAAUUGGGUCCCAAACCCAUUUGCGAAAUGGAAGUAAUUGUGGUAAGGUUUGUACCUGCCCCACAGCCCGAUCGAAACAUUGCGCUUCGAAUCGAGUUCCAGCGUAUUGGUUAGGACCCGAAAGGUUGCGAACUAUGCUUGUAUAGGAUGAAGCCAGGCGAAAGUCUGGUGGAAGUCCGUAGCGGUGCUGACGUGCAAAUCGCUCGUCAAAUAUGAGCAUAGCGGCGAAAGACUAAUCGAGCAACCUAGUAGCUGGUUCCCC